UGAGGAAGCAAGUGCUCUCUUCGCACCAAGUCUCGUGCUUCGUAAAAAUAGGAGAGUGUAUGAAUAAAAACCUGACCAGCAUCAGAUCGGUCAAGCUGGUUAUAAAUGACCUCAUGAAACUCGCAGGGUUCGUUCCGCAAACCCGUAACGGUCCUUAGAAACAGCAAGAAACAAUGGCUGCAGGGAUGCCUUAGAGGAAUAAACAGGUCAUGACAUUGUC
rnacentral:lncRNA from 1 species